ACGCUGGCGGCAGGCCUAACACAUGCAAGUCGAGCGGUAGAGAGAAGCUUGCUUCUCUUGAGAGCGGCGGACGGGUGAGUAAUGCCUAGGAAUCUGCCUGGUAGUGGGGGAUAACGUUCGGAAACGGACGCUAAUACCGCAUACGUCCUACGGGAGAAAGCAGGGGACCUUCGGGCCUUGCGCUAUCAGAUGAGCCUAGGUCGGAUUAGCUAGUUGGUGGGGUAAUGGCUCACCAAGGCGACGAUCCGUAACUGGUCUGAGAGGAUGAUCAGUCACACUGGAACUGAGACACGGUCCAGACUCCUACGGGAGGCAGCAGUGGGGAAUAUUGGACAAUGGGCGAAAGCCUGAUCCAGCCAUGCCGCGUGUGUGAAGAAGGUCUUCGGAUUGUAAAGCACUUUAAGUUGGGAGGAAGGGCAGUUGCCUAAUACGUAACUGUUUUGACGUUACCGACAGAAUAAGCACCGGCUAACUCUGUGCCAGCAGCCGCGGUAAUACAGAGGGUGCAAGCGUUAAUCGGAAUUACUGGGCGUAAAGUGCGCGUAGGUGGUUUGUUAAGUUGGAUGUGAAAUCCCCGGGCUCAACCUGGGAACUGCAUUCAAAACUGACUGACUAGAGUAUGGUAGAGGGUGGUGGAAUUUCCUGUGUAGCGGUGAAAUGCGUAGAUAUAGGAAGGAACACCAGUGGCGAAGGCGACCACCUGGACUGAUACUGACACUGAGGUGCGAAAGCGUGGGGAGCAAAC
rnacentral:rRNA from 1 species